rnacentral:rRNA from 1 species
AGUGAACGCUGGCGGUAGGCCUAACACAUGCAAGUCGAACGGCAGCACAGUAAGAGCUUGCUCUUACGGGUGGCGAGUGGCGGACGGGUGAGGAGUACAUCGGAAUCUACUUUUUCGUGGGGGAUAACGUAGGGAAACUUACGCUAAUACCGCAUACGACCUACGGGUGAAAGCAGGGGAUCUUCGGACCUUGCGCGAUUGAAUGAGCCGAUGUCGGAUUAGCUAGUUGGCGGGGUAAAGGCCCACCAAGGCGACGAUCUGUAGCUGGUCUGAGAGGAUGAUCAGCCACACUGGAACGGAGACACGGUCCAGACUCCUACGGGAGGCAGCAGUGGGGAAUAGUGGAAAAUGGGCGCAAGCCUGAUCCAGCCAUACCGCGUGGGUGAAGAAGGCCUUCGGGUUGUAAAGCCCUUUUGUUGGGAAAGAAAAGCAGCAGGUUAAUACCCCGCUGUUCUGACGGUACCCAAAGAAUAAGCACCGGCUAACUUCGUG